AUUGUCGAAACCUGCCCAGCAGAACGACCCGCGAACACGUAUCAAUGCUACGGGGGCGAGGGGAGGCAUGCCCCCUCUCUCCCCCAGAGCCAGGACGCGCUCGGUGCUCGAUCCGCCAACCGUGCCACGUGCGCGGGAAGCACCGGCACCGGCGUGCCCUCGGCAUCACAACGAACCCCGGCGCAAAUCGCGUCAAGGAAACGAAACGCAAGAGCCCGCUCCCAUCCCCCGGUCUCGGGUCGUGGUGGGGGCGAAGGCAUCUUCGAUAUUAUACUAAACGACUCUCGGCAACGGAUAUCUCGGCUCUCGCAUCGAUGAAGAACGUAGCGAAAUGCGAUACUUGGUGUGAAUUGCAGAAUCCCGUGAACCAUCGAGUCUUGAACGCAAGUUGCGCCCAAAGCCAUUAGGCCGAGGGCACGUCUGCCUGGGCGUCACGUAUCGCGUCGCCACCCCAACCCCCGUCCACGUAUGCCGUGAUGCGGGGCGUCCUGUGGGGGCGGAUAUUGGCCUCCCGUGCACUUCGCCGCGGUUGGCCUAAAAGCGAGCCCCGGGCGACAGAACGUCACGAUAAGUGGUGGUUGAUAAGCCCCGGCCCUUCAAGUGUCAUGUCGUGCGUUGCCCUGUCGCCCGUUGGAGCUACGAGACCCCGAUGCGUCGUCCCGACGAUGCUUCCAUCGCGACCCCAGGUCAGGCGGGAUUACCCGC
rnacentral:rRNA from 1 species